CAGCACUCAAGACAUGCAAGAGAUUUCUUUUCAGUGAAGCAUCUGCUCCCUGGGAGAUGAUUUCUGAAUCUGAGUCCUGGAAUGGCAGGUGGGACACCUGUUCAUGGGGGGGUGAGUUGGGGGUAUUGUUCUGGAGGGAUUGCCCAGGAUCUCUGAGCAUGACACAUCACAAAGGGAAGCACAAUAACUGCCUAAGGCCUCUAGUGGAGGAUGCCGAUAAGGUGUUCCCCAGAGAGCAGAGACUGACAUCAGCUCUAGGCUGCUCCCUUGGUCAUGGAGAUUUCCCAAGGUUUCCCCAGAACAACAUUUGAGAGCAGAACAAGCUAGGAUGGUGACGAUGAUAUCCAGCAUGACACUGGAAGAAAAGCAAUAGUAGAGGCAACAUCCCAUAAUUCACUGGAAAUGCACCAAUGAUGGUGUGCAAUGAAUUGAAGUAUGAUUAACUUAAUCCUUUGAAGAACAAAGGCACCAACAAGACACAAACAAAUCGGACAGCAUCUGGAAGAUGAAGGGCUGGAAUGCAGAAAAAGUUGCAAAAACAAACAAAAAUCAAACCAAACCAAGUCACCACCACCACCACCACCAACAACAACAAUGACAACAACAAACCUGACAGCAAAAUGGGCUUGUUAUUUUGAAUAAAAAG